GGGAUAGCUCAGUUGGUAAAGCUUGAGACUCUUAAUCUCAGGGUUGUGCCCCCAUUGGAUAAAAGAUUCCAGCAUUGAUCA